rnacentral:lncRNA from 1 species
CAGGGGCUGUCACCACUGCCGUGUAAGAUAAGGAAGCCAAGGCUCCGGGCAGUGGCGUGAGCAGCCCAGGGUCACACAGCAGGCAGUGGCAGAGCCGGGGCAGACUCAGGCACCGACCAGGCUCACGCACACGGCCUGUGUUGCCAUGAGCCCCGAGAUGAAAGGACCUCGUCUGUGGAUCCCCGUUCUGUGGGAAAUGCAUUAAACGGCAGCUCUUCCAAGAGGCAAUUAGAUGAGGAAAUCUGUCUUCCGCCGGACUGAAGAUAAUUAGAGAGACUGGAUAAAUUGUUAUUGACGGACGAGCGUGGAUGGAGUGCCUACUAUAUGCCUCACGCUGUGGCUGGUUUGGGGACAGGACGAGCAUGGAUGGAGCGCCUACUGUAUGCCUCACCCUGUGGCUGGUUUGGGGACAGGACGAGCGUGGAUGGAGCGCCUACUGUAUGCCUCACCCUAUGGCUGGUCUGGGGACGGGACAAGCGUGGAUGGAGCGCCUACUGUAUGCCUCACGCUGUGGCUGGUCUGGGAGAUGGGAUGAGCGUGGAUGGAGCGCCUACUGUAUGCCUCACCCUAUGGCUGGUCUGGGAGAUGGGAUGAGCGUGGAUGGAGCGCCUACUGUAUGCCUCACCCUGUGGCUGGUCUGGGGCCUUGCCAUGUGGCGCCCAUUUCACAGAUGAUGAAACAGAAGCACGCAGAAUUCAGUAACUUUUUUCAAUGUCAAAUAGCUAAUGGGAGAAACAAGAUAUAAACCAGGACACUAGACAAGGUGCAAAGAUGACUCGUGCAGUUCUGCCCUGUAAGAAUCCACAGUUGAAGUAAGAAGCAAGAGAAAUGGAACAGACGAUGAGACAAAGCAGACAGCGGUGACAGCAUCCCACCACACGGCUGCCCUGCUGGAGAAUUCACGGGGAAGUCCAGGAUGUGGCCGGCCCGUGUGCAGACCAGGAGCUCACUGACCGAUCAACACAUCAGGCAGGGGGUUGUCAACCGUGGCCUCGCCUGAGGGUCCCCCAGGGGCUAAGGACCCAGAUACUCAGGACACAGGCCAGCCGGACCCCGCACAUCAGUCGCUGGAGGGGGUGGAUGUUUGAAGCUCCCCAGG